AUUGAACGCUGGCGGCAGGCCUAACACAUGCAAGUCGAGCGGAGCGGCGGACGGGUGCGUAAUGCCUAGGUAUCUGCCUGUUAGUGGGGGAUAACGUCCGGAAACGGGCGCUAAUACCGCAUACUAUCAGAUGGGCCUAGGUCGGUGUAGCUAGUUGGUGGGGUAAAGGCUUACCAAGGCGACGAUCAGUAACUGGUCUGAGUGGAGGAUCAGGCACGGUGGAACGGAGACACGGUCCAGGCUCCUACGAGGGGGAGCAGUGGGGAAUAUGGGGCAAUGGGCGAAAGACUGAUGCAGCGAUGCGGAGUGUGUGAAGAAGGUCGUAGGAUUGUGGACCUCUGUAGGUAUAGAACGGGUAGGUGGAGAAGAAGCGCCGGCUAACUACGUGCCAGCAGCCGCGGUAAUUC
rnacentral:rRNA from 1 species